AUAACUGGUGAGUAACACGUGGGAAACCUGCCCAGAAGCGGGGGAUAACACCUGGAAACAGAUGCUAAUACCGCAUAACAACUUGGACCGCAUGGUCCGAGUUUGAAAGAUGGCUUCGGCUAUCACUUUUGGAUGGUCCCGCGGCGUAUUAGCUAGAUGGUGGGGUAACGGCUCACCAUGGCAAUGAUACGUAGCCGACCUGAGAGGGUAAUCGGCCACAUUGGGACUGAGACACGGCCCAAACUCCUACGGGAGGCAGCAGUAGGGAAUCUUCCACAAUGGACGAAAGUCUGAUGGAGCAACGCCGCGUGAGUGAAAAAGGGUUUCGGCUCGUAAAACUCUGUUGUUAAAUAAGAACGUAUCUAAAAGUAACUGUUCGGAUAUUAGCGGUAUUUAACCAGAAAGCCUCGGCUGACGGCAUAGCUACGGCCACGGUAAAUGCGUAGUGGAGAGGGUUGCGGGGGAUU
rnacentral:rRNA from 1 species